CAGACCUGUGCUCUUCCUCUGGAAAAACAACCUUAGCUUGACAACAGCUAGGCCUCCAGUAUCCUGGGAGUCUUCUUUAGCAUAUGGAAAUCCCUCUGGAAACUUCCCUUGGACCUUACCUCCCCCAAGUCCAUAGUAUAUAACCAGUCUCUCCCCAUAGUCCCGGGGCAGGUCUUUCUGCCCGAGGGUCCUGUCCCCAUGCUUUAAUAAAA